ACACACGGCGGCAAAUUCAAAGUCUACGGGGAUUUAACAUGGUAAACUCGUCCAUUAGCGUCUGAAUUACGGGGCCGGGAACCAGUUUUCGAAGGGAGUAGUCGUUCUUUCCAAAGGAAAAAUUCAAAAAAUAAAAUUAAAUAGAAAGAAAUGAAAUAAACGUGUUUUUAAUACAAAUAUGAGAAAUACACAUUAUUCAGCAAUAUUUCAGCGAGUUUUAUCGUGAUAAAUGAGGGAAUACUCCGAAUAUGAAACAGUGCAUCUUAUGGACGCACUCAUUCCUCAUAUGGCGGGCUGUUGAACCAUCCAUGGUUCAGAAAGCUGAGGAGACUUCAACAGGUGCCACACCUUUGAUGGACAUCGCUGUUAGGAUAAACUUUCACUUUAUUUGAAGAGGAGAAGUGGAUCACAAUAAGGAACUGAGACUAAAUGCUGGCCUGUGAAAAGUUAACAUGCAGGAGAUACAGAGGAGGGGGAGCAGCUCCACUCAUCGAAAGUCAGUUAUAGCUGAUCCAUACUGAUGAAAUUUUGACCAAAGGACAAAAAAGUGUUUACAGCAAUAUAAGGUAAAGUAUCAAGAAUGUAGAUAAUUAAGAUGCAUAAAAAAGAUUAGUUACACACAGUCCCACCUCUUGAAAGACAAAUUAAUCAUUAAACAAUGCAUGUAUCAUAGAUUAACCAAUGAUAUAAUAAGUUCUCAUUGCCCUAAGAGACUUUAAAUAUUUUCAGUUUUGAAUAGUUUGACUCUGGUCAUAAAGGGGUAUUUCAUUGAUGGAUAAAAAAUUACCUUAUAUCAUUAAAAUUAGAUUGCCUAUGUUCCAAUGAGUUGCAU